GGGGAUACAGUUCAGUGGCACAGCACCUGCCUGGCAAGCAUGGGGUCCUGAGUUCGAUUCCUGGUAUCCCUG
rnacentral:tRNA from 1 species